AUUAUACAUAUACUUUAAACUUAUGUAUAAUACAAGUAACCAAUAGGAAAUAAUAUAGAUAAAAGAACUUCAGAUAAAUUAUAAAAAUAUAGCUGCCUAAUACUUUUGGCCAAGCCUGUAUACAUACAUAUAUUUUUAUAUAAUUAGGGAUCGUAAGGAAAUAAAAUUAUUAUAAUUGUCAAUACAUUUUUAAUAAGAGUUUAGGCAUCAUUUCUGUUAUUUCAAAUUUACCGUUAUCGCGCGGUAGCUCAAUACAAUAAAGUACUUAAUCUUUCAAUACAAUGUAUAUCGGCGAGAGAACAAUUAAACUCUUAUUAAAAAUGUAUUGACAAUUAAUAAUAAUUUUAUUUCCUUACGAUCUCUAAUAUAUUAGAAAUAUAUGUAUGUAUACAGGAUUGGCCAAAAGUAUUAGACAAUGAUAUAAUUUAAUUUCUCAAUAAUUUCUACUGCCGCAAACUUUGUUCUUACGUUUUUUUCUAUAGAAACAUAUUAAUGCAAGUUUUAAUUGGCAUUUAAAUGGCAAUUAAGAUUAUAAAGUAACGGACAUACUGUUUGAUUUCUGCUGCCGAUCUACCUACAGGUUAUGUCAACAGGCUCUGCUCGAUUUCUGCUGCCAAUCUGCUGUCAGUUAUAUCAGCAGGUUUUGCUCGAUUUCUGCUGCCAAUCUGUUGUCAGAUUAUGUUAGCAAGCUCUGCUUGAUUUCUGACAGCAGUUUGCCGACAUCGUUGGAUAUUACAGACUUUGUAUAAAAUUUGUUGCCAUUCUGUCGUCAAAAAUUGAUAGCAUGCUCUGCUCAAAAUCUGUUCCUGCAGGCUUGGCUAUCUGGGAUAUUAUUUUGAUUUUUUUAUAGAUGUACCAGUACAUUCCCAAAUAUGUAAUGAGACUAAUCAACAAGAAGAAAGAAUUAGAAAGAAAGAAUUUCAUAACGAAAUGUGUUGUAAAACUUGCCAGAAUGACAUUAAGAAAAUAAUGCAAAUGUUAAUUACAAUCCAACAACUGUUGCUGAGUGAACAUCCUUCUUCCAUACAAGAGAAUACUACAAAUUUUAAUCUGCCAAUUGCAACACCUCGAGCGCUAGAAGAAUUUAAUAAAUUAAUAUAAUAAACACAAGAUCGUGUAUCUUUGCUCCAAUAUAAAAAAAUAAUUUCCACUUUGGGAGGGAAGAAUGCAGAACAACAUGUACGAAAUGCAUUAAAAUGCACUUUGACUGACACUUUGGGUUAUCAAACGUCAUGGACAGGACAAAAAAAUACUAUCCAAACAAGAGGCAUGAAAUUUGUUGACAUUAUUAUAGAAAUAAUCAUCAGUGGAAACAAUACUUCUUCUUCGCAUUUGGUUCAAAAUGUCAUCAAAAGCUGGCUACAGCAUGCUGGUGAUCGAAUAACUCAAGAAAGAAAACGUCAUGAAUCACGAAGAAAUAUGUAACCGUUCGCGCCAUAUCACAGAAGAAUAGUAUUAUAAGUCGCGCAUAAUAAUAAUAUGCGAAUAAUACUAAAUUAUCUUCGAGUAUAAAUUGACAACUAUAAAAUGCUUUUCUCUCUUUAGUUUCUCAUUCAAUAUUAUCUACAUAAUAUAAAUUACUCAGUUCAACUUUGGGAGGAAAAAACUGCAGAAUGUGUACGAAGGGGAAAAAAAACAGAAGUAAUAACGGAAUAGAUAUUUUUUUAUUAUAUUAUAUUUGAUAUUAAAAAUUUACAAAUAGUAUUAUAUUAUUAUUUGUUUAUAAUUUAAUAGCGUUAUUAAUUUAUUAAAAAAUAAUAACGCUACUAGAUAGCAUUUUUUAGCCUGUUCAUGACAUUUGAUAAGCCAAAGUAUCAGUUGAAGUGCAUUUUAAUGCAUUUCGUACACAUUCUGCAUUUUUUCCUCCCAAAGUUAAACUGGGCAGCAAUCAUGUAACUUUUUCCUUAAGGCGGAAACGUGAAAAGUGAAAAGUUUCAUGUAACUAUCUCUUUCUAUUGGUGUUGAAUAGAAAGAAAUGGUAACUUGAAACUUUUCAUUUUUCACAUUUUUGUCCUAGGGGAAAAAUUACAUGAUUGAUACCCUGAUUAAUAUAAUAAUUUAGAUUAUGCAGAUAAUUUUAAAUAAAAAACUAAAGAGGAGGGGGGAAGCAUUUUAUAGUCGUCAAUUUAUACUCUAAGCUAAAUGAUUUAGUAUUAUUUAUUUAGUGUUACUUUUUUGUUUAUUUUCAAUCUUUUAUAAACUUUUCAUUUUUAAGAAUACAUAGACUUGCGACCAAAUAUACAUAUGAGAAACACGAGAUGAGAAAAAAUCAUUCAAAUGUAAUAAGAAUAUAGUUUGUUAUAUAUAAUUAUAUAGUUUAUUAUAUAUAAUAAUUUUUAUAUAAACAUGUACGCGUUAUUUUAUAAUUAAAAAAAAUAAAGUUUAUAUAUAUAAUAA